rnacentral:rRNA from 1 species
GUGCAGCAGGCGCGAAACCUCCGCAAUACACGAAAGUGUGACGGGGCCAUCCCGAGUGCCGUCCGCUGAGGACGGCUUUUCCCCAGUGUACACAGCUGGGGGAAUAAGGAGAGGGCAAGCCUGGUGUCAGCCGCCGCGGUAAUACCAGCUCUCCGAGUGGUGGGGACGCUUAUUGGGCCUAAAGCAUCCGUAGCCGGCUGGGCAAGUCCUCCGUUAAAUCCAACGAUUCAAUCGUUGGGCUGCGGGGGAUACUGUCCAGCUUGGGGGCGGGAGAGGCCGGCGGUAUUCCCGGGGUAGGGGUGAAAUCCUAUAAUCCCGGGAGGACCACCAGUGGCGAAGGCUGUCAGCUAGAACGCGCCCGACGGUGAGGGAUGAAAGCUGGGGGAGCGAACCGGAUUAGAUA